rnacentral:rRNA from 1 species
UACGUAGGGCGCAAGCGUUGUCCGGAAUUAUUGGGCGUAAAGAGCUCGUAGGCGGUUUGUCGCGUCUGCUGUGAAAUCCCGAGGCUCAACCUCGGGCCUGCAGUGGGUACGGGCAGACUAGAGUGAUGUAGGGGAGACUGGAAUUCCUGGUGUAGCGGUGAAAUGCGCAGAUAUCAGGAGGAACACCGAUGGCGAAGGCAGGUCUCUGGGCAUUAACUGACGCUGAGGAGCGAAAGCAUGGGGAGCGAACAGG